rnacentral:rRNA from 1 species
UACGUAGGGUGCGAGCGUUGUCCGGAAUUAUUGGGCGUAAAGAGCUUGUAGGCGGUUUGUCGCGUCUGCCGUGAAAAUCCGGGGCUCAACCCCGGACUUGCGAUGGGUACGGGCAGACUAGAGUGUGGUAGGGGAGACUGGAAUUCCUGGUGUAGCGGUGAAAUGCGCAGAUAUCAGGAGGAACACCGAUGGCGAAGGCAGGUCUCUGGGCCACUACUGACGCUGAGAAGCGAAAGCGUGGGGAGCGAACAGG